rnacentral:rRNA from 1 species
AAACUUUCAACAACGGAUCUCUUGGUUCUGGCAUCGAUGAAGAACGCAGCGAAAUGCGAUAAGUAAUGUGAAUUGCAGAAUUCAGUGAAUCAUCGAAUCUUUGAACGCACAUUGCACCCUCUGGUAUUCCGGGGGGUAUGCCUGUUCGAGCGUCAUUU